CCCUUAGAUGUUCUGGGCCGCACGCGCGCUACACUGAUGCAUUCAACGAGUCUAAAACCUGCUCUGAUAGGGGUGGGUAAUCUUUUGAAUGUGCAUCGUGAUUGGGAUAGAUGAUUGCAAUUUUUCAUCUUCAACGAGGAAUGCCUAGUAAACGCAAGUCAUCAGCUUGCACUGAUUACGUCCCUGCCCUUUGUACACACCGCCCGUCGCUCCUACCGAUUGAAUGAUCCGAUGAAUAUCAUGGAUUGAGGAUGCAAGUAGGUUCGCCUAUCUUCAUCUUCGAGAAGUGAAGUAAAUCUUAUCAUUUAGAGGAAGGAGAAGUCGUAACA
rnacentral:rRNA from 1 species